GGACGGCCUCACCAAUAUUUCUGGUAGAAAUUAAUUGUCUCAAAAGAAAAACUUAGACAUAAAUAAUAAGAGCAAAAGUCAAGAAAGAUAUGUCUAUCAAACACGAUUAAAAAAACUCAUGACUACAAUUUAGAAUACUCAAAACUCUUAAGCAGUAACUGCUGCUUGGCUUGCAAGCCUUUUCCUGGCUUCUUCAAUGAUGGAUAGUUUUAUACCCUUGCCCUUGGGGAGGGACACCCACGGCUUCGUCCCCUUCCCGAUUGUAAACACAUUGCCGAGCCGAGUGGCAAAUUCGUGCCCGGUUGCAUCCUGAAUGUGAAUGGUCUCAAAGCUUCCCUUGUGCUUCUCUCUGUUCUUAAUUACUCCCACUCGACCUCUGUUUCUUCCACCAGUCACCAUCACAACGUUUCCUACAUCGAAUUUAAUGAAAUCAGCAAUCUUGUUUGAGUCAAGGUCCAACUUGAUGGUGUCAUUCGCCUUGAUCAGGGGGUCGGGGUAACGGAUAGUACGUCCAUCAUAAGUGUUCAGAUAAGGAAUUCCUUUCUGCCCAAACUGCACUGAGCGGACCUUACAGAGCUUGAACUUAGCCUCUUCAUCCCUGAUUGAGUGAAGACGGAAACGACCUUUUGUGUCGUAAAGAAGCCGGAAAUUCUCGUUUGUUUUGGGAAUGGAUACGACAUCCAUGAAGCCAGCCGGAUAGGUCUUAUCAGUCCUGACCUUAGCAUCAACUAAAACAUGGCGUUGCAUCAAAAUUGCAAUAACCUCACGGUAUGUGAGAGCAUAUUUCAAUCGGUUUCGCAAAAUGAGGAUUAAUGGGAGACAUUCCCUUGAUUUAUGAGGUCCUGAUGAAGGUUUUGGGGCAAAUGCA
rnacentral:misc_RNA from 1 species